UCAAUAUAUUUCUUUGUUAAAUCAGUCUCGUUUUACAAUUCCCCAUUCCUUGGGGGAUUCCUUGUCAUAUAAAUGUUAAUUUCUCGAACACAUUUUCCUUUAUACAAAUUUGUUACUAUAAAAGCCUUGUAGCUCACCAGACUCGUUUAUUUUGUUUCAGUGUCGUAAAGAUGAAGGUUAUGAUAGUAAUGUUGCUUAUAUCUAUGGUGUUACAAAUGUCUCAUGGUGACACUGUCCAUGGAGUGAAUGUUCCUGCAUCUACCACAGCUAAGUCGUGGACAAAGAAGUUGGUCGAGAAAGCGAGCAAGGUACUGUAUGGCCUGUCAGUGAUCGGUCAGGUGCAAGGAAUAGUACAAGGAGGUCGAGGAGGUCACAGACACAAAGGGACAGCUCUCAAAAAAACAACAUAGUAUAUGGUAAUACAUAUUAAAUAUAAGUCACUAUAUUCUCUUAAACAAGCCUCCAUUGAAUAUUUCAACUAAAUUAAUAUUUGUUUAAUUAAAACUGUAAUUUCAGUAGUUACUAUGAACCAGUACAGACUUCCUUUGUUUUAUAUUAAUUAACUUCAUUCGAUCCUAGGCUUCACUGACGUCAAUGGUUCAACUUUAUUAUUAUGUAAAUUCAACAAUGUUUCUAAUAAGUGAAUUUUAUUAGGUAUUAAGUUUAGCAAAACAUUGUUAUUUUAUAAUACUGACAGUCAUUAAAAAAUAUAAUAAAAUAUGGUAUUAAUUAUUUAAGCAACUAAAAAAUUGAAAUUUUAGAAUUGCGUUUCUGUGACGGGUGGGUUUGAUUAAUAAACAGUAAAUUCGUAUUGUGUUAAUUUUGAUUGCAUUAUUAAUGUCACCAGGAAAGCCAGCAUUUAAUGUGUUUAAAAUAUAAUUAUAAAAGGUCAUUUUCA